rnacentral:rRNA from 1 species
AGUGAACGCUGGCGGUAGGCCUAACACAUGCAAGUCGAACGGCAGCACAGUAAGAGCUUGCUCUUACGGGUGGCGAGUGGCGGACGAGUGAGGAAUACAUCGGAAUCUACUUUUUCGUGGGGGAUAACGUAGGGAAACUUACGCUAAUACCGCAUACGACCUACGGGUGAAAGCAGGGGAUCUUCGGACCUUGCGCGAUUGAAUGAGCCGAUGUCGGAUUAGCUAGUUGGCGGGGUAAAGGCCCACCAAGGCGACGAUCCGUAGCUGGUCUGAGAGGAUGAUCAGCCACACUGGAACUGAGACACGGUCCAGACUCCUACGGGAGGCAGCAGUGGGGAAUAUUGGACAAUGGGCGCAAGCCUGAUCCAGCCAGACCGCGUGGGUGAAGAAGGCCUUCGGGUUGUAAAGCCCUUUUGUUGGGAAAGAAAAGCAGCAGGUUAAUACCCCGCUGUUCUGACGGUACCCAAAGAAUAAGCACCGGCUAACUUCGUG